rnacentral:rRNA from 1 species
AUUGAACGCUGGCGGCAGGCCUAACACAUGCAAGUCGAGCGGUAGAGAGGUGCUUGCACCUCUUGAGAGCGGCGGACGGGUGAGUAAUGCCUAGGAAUCUGCCUGGUAGUGGGGGAUAACGGAGCGAAAGCUUUGCUAAUACCGCAUACGAUCUACGGAUGAAAGCAGGGGACCGCAAGGCCUUGCGCGGACGGAGCGGC